AUGGACCCCAACUGCUCCUGAGCCGCUGGUUUCUCCUGUGCCUGCGCCGGCUCCUGCAAGUGGAAAGAGUGCAAAUGCACCUCCUGCAAGAAGAGCUGUUGCUCCUGCUGCCUUGUGGGCUGUGCCAAGUGUGCCCAGGUCUACAUCUGCAAAGGGGCUUUGGAGAAGUGCAGCAGUUGCACCUGAUGUCGGUUCAGCCCUGCUCCCAAGUAUAAAUAGAGUGACCCGUAAAAUCCAGGAAUUUUGGUUUUUGAUACCACCUUAAACCAUUUGCUACGUUCCUUUUUCUGUGAAAUAUGUGAGUAAUAAUUAAACACUUAGACUUGAAAAAAAAAA